GAUGAACGCUGGCGGCGUGCCUAAUACAUGCAAGUCGAGCGAAUGGAUUAAGAUCUUGCUCUUAUGAAGUUAGCGGCGGACGGGUUAGUAACACGUGGGUAACCUGCCCAUAGGACUGGGAUAACCCCGGGAAACCGGGGCUCAUACCGGAUAACAUGUUGAACCGCAUGGUUGGAUAUGGAAUCGCGGCUUCGGCCGUCACUUAUGGAUGGACCCGCCUCGCAUGAGCUAGUUGGUGAGGUAACGGCGCACCAAGGCAACGGUGCGUAGCCGACCUGAGAGGGUGAUCGGCCACACUGGGACUGAGACGCGGCCCAGACUCCUACGGGAGGCAGCAGUAGGGAAUCUUCCGCAAUGGACGAAAGUCUGACGGAGCAACGCCGCGUGAGUGAUGAAGGCUUUCGGGUCGUAAAACUCUGUUGUUAGGGAAGAACAAGUGCUAGUUGAAUAAGCUGGCACCUUGACGGUACCUAACCAGAAAGCCACGGCUAACUACGUGCCAGCAGCCGCAGUAA
rnacentral:rRNA from 1 species